UUUAAAGGCGGCUGCGGGGCGGCAGCCGGUGUCCGCCCCGAAUCCGGCUGGUGCCUUCUCGGGCGCGGUGGGCGGCGGGUUGUGGAGUCGUUCCUGGAACCUGCUCGGCCGCAUAGGCAGGGCCGCCUCACACCUCAGCCCCCAAGGUUCACAGGAGCUCUGAAAACACAAGGUCAUCAUCGGUGAUGAAUUGACUUAAACUCAACCGUCUCUUCUUUAGAAUCUUCCCAUUGGCUGCCACCACUACCACAUUUUCCUUGAAGGCUUAUGCAAUUGAGGGCCACUGUAUGCUUCCGUCAUCUCCAGCUUCCUCUGAUGCAGCAAUUUUGGAAGUCACGUAUUCCAGAUGGUAUGGCUACAAAUGGAUGAGAUGAUAGGUUCUGAAAUGUGGAGCACACAUGUUGAGGAAGAAAAUCAGAAGAGCAGGCCAGAUGAUAGAAGGCAGCAGAAAUUAUUGGAGAACAUCCAAGCAUACACAGUAAAUACCUUCUUCAAAGAUGUAGCAAAAGAUGCUCUUCAGGUCAUCCUCCUGGAGGACCUGUGGGCAGGGCUUCUUCAGCUUCUCCAAAGCUACAAUGACUGACACGAAAUGCCUCAGACUCUUGUUACAGAGCUGGUGGGAGACUUGCAACUGGAUGCCCUCAUCUACCAGAGAACUGUGGUUCAGGUCUUGGCAGCAGCACUGUGGAGAGACCAAGGAAGAGUUUGUUAAGGUGGUCAGGCCAGAGAACUCCUGUUUUUUACAUCAGAGAGGCUGAAGGGGCCUUGGAAAUAACUGAGCUUCUAAUGUUAAACUCUCUUCUCUCUGAAGCCUAGAGAGGUUAAGUGAUUUAUCAGAGGGCAUGUGGCAAGUUAGAGGCAGAUUCAAAACCAGAACUAUAGGUUUUCUGAUGGCCUAUAUGGUGUUCUUUUAGAAUAAGACACAUGUCUACCUCAUUUAUCUUUUUUAUACACUGUUCCACCUAACCAUAAAUUUACACCUUCUUAACCUCUAUGUCUUUUUGUAUCCGUAAUGCUUUAACACUUUGUAUUUAAUUUUUCAUGGCAAUGAUGAUCAUAACAUUUUAUAUUCAUCUAUGCUCAUUCAACAAGUUUUUAAUUAUUCUAUACAAGUUCUUUCUUUUUUCCUAAACACUGUCUUAUAAGCAUUCUACAAAUACUUUAAAAGUGGUUACUAUUUGUGAAAUAUGUUUCCACUUUCCCAUUAUUCAGAGAAACUUCCCAUUAUUCAUAGAACUGGCGUAACUAUGUGAAGGCUUAAGUGAGGUUGCCCUGGUACCAUGAUAAUGGUUUGGAUACUCAACAGAUAGUUAAAGAGGCCUCUAACAACACAGAGGAAAGCUGAGUAUGAGAGAAGUUCCUGCCCAGAAAUCUGGGAGCAAAAAACUAUUCUACUUUUAAAGGGGAGCAGAUAUACAUUAAUUCCCAAGGACUUAAGUGAUUUAUGUAGGCUGAAUCUUCUCCUAAAAGGAGAAUCAAAUUUGCAUUGGAGCCUUGGCUGCUUUCCUAACAAAAAACCAGCAAGCUUUAUCAUCACUGCCAUCCCUCCACCCUGUGCAAGCAUGGCCAUCAUCACCAAGCCAUAGUAAGUGAUUGUGGGAGUGGUGUAGUGACCAAGUCAGCAUGCAGUGCCAUCUGCAUCUGUCUUACUGCAAGAGAUGAAAGUCCUUUCAUUACAAAAUACCCUGGAAACAAGGUAGCCCAGAACCCUUUUCCUGGAGCCUCUCCCAUAUCAGAGUACCUCCAGGUGUUGUGAGCUAAGCCCAUGGUCUCACCUUCACAUUUCCAGGGCCAUCAGCUUCAAAGAAUAGGUCAUUCUCAUUGUUACUGUAAUAAAACCAGAGAGAUUGUUCAAGUAUGUCUCUCAGACAAGUUCUUUUUCCUUCCCCCCAAACCGUCUUCACUGUUAAUAGGAAACUACAAAUAGUAUGUCCCUUAAAGUUGCUAAAAGCUGCUGGCAAGUUUUAUGGUGAUAUGCAUGGAAUGGCGUAGGAGGCAGGGCAGAUAUCCUAGAUACUACCUGUUGGAUCCUGAGACCUAUCCUUCAUCCACUUAACAUCUGAGCUUUUCUUCUCUCUCAAGCCAAACUUUGCCAAAAGGUUGCCUGUAUUGUUCACUUGUAAUCUCUUUUUCCUAUUUGCCAUUUGCAGGGACCCUUGCAGCAACAACAUGUAGAUAGCCUAUGGGUCCAAAGAAAGGCUAGACUUGCAGUGGGAAAUCAGUCUUUAAACCAUGUUAACCUAGAGCCCUGCUUGCCACUGGAAGAGGAAGUUUGGAGAACAGAUCUGGUCUCCAAGCACAGAUAACACCCCACUCUUGAAAGAGGAGCUCUACUCAUAUGGCUAAUCUCAAUCACCUCACUGACCUGGAGUAAGCCAUCAUUUCACUGGUGAGUUCGGGUACUGCUGCCAUGGCUGCUUUAGAAACCUGCGUAAAGAGGAGAAAAUAAAUGAUUCCUGCCAGGCCAGUCUCCCCCAGGGCUGCCUUCAUAUGUGAGUUUCCCUUAGCACCUGGUACAUGGCAGGCAUGUAAAGAAACAAUCUUUAAAUGAAUGAGUGAAUGCAUGAAAGAACCUUCCUUUGGGUGCAGAGGAAACAUUUGCUAAACCAAACCCAAACCAAGAGUAUAUUUGUUAGAUCUGGAGCAGAGGCUUUGACACUGAUUUCUCAGUUGUCAAGCUGCUACAUAAGCAAUACUCGUUCCCAGAAAUUUUCACAAAUCAUAGCCAUAAUCUCAGGCAGAGAGGAAGGGAGAGAGGGAGAAAGAGACAGACAGAGACAGAGAGACUUGACUGGAACCCAGUCAUAAAGAAGAGUUAGUUCAAGUUGUACCUGAAUAGUGAAGACUGGCUGGAGAGAACAGAAUCCUGGAGUAGACCACUGUACCUCGACGAGCUAUGCUGUUUGCCAAUUUCUACCUAACUUUUAUACUCUUUAAAAGCAGAAGUAGAUAGCUGAGAAAUUUCCUGGUCGGUUAACAAUUUCACAACCAAGUUAAAAAAAAAAAA